UCUAAUAUGGCAGAAAUAGUGCAAUAGAUUUAAGACCUAUAAAUAAAGAAUUUAACUUUUAUUAGAA
rnacentral:tRNA from 1 species